UUUUGCAGCUAUAUCAACCUGCAGCCCACAACUGGCAGCCCACUGAAGCUCAGCAGGUCUGAGCCUGGUCAGUACCUGGAUGGGAGACCUCCUGGGAAAAACUGUGGUUGCUGCUGGAA
ensembl:rRNA 5S_rRNA 5S ribosomal RNA